rnacentral:rRNA from 1 species
GGCCCCGGAACGAAACGGCCGGUAAUUAACUACCGCAUACCGUCCCGGUUAAGGGGAAAGGCGGGGGAUCUUCGGACCUCGCGCUAUUGGAGCGGCCGAUGUCGGAUUAGCUAGUAGGUGAGGUAAAGGCUCACCUAGGCGACGAUCCGUAGCUGGUCUGAGAGGAUGAUCAGCCACACUGGGACUGAGACACGGCCCAGACUCCUACGGGAGGCAGCAGUGGGGAAUUUUUGGACAAUGGGCGCAAGCCUGAUCCAGCCAUGCCGCGUGAGUGAAGAAGGCCUUCGGGUUGUAAAGCUCUUUCAGGUGGAAAGAAAUAGCGCUGUUUAAUAGAUGGCGUUGAUGACGGUACCACCAGAAGAAGCACCGGCUAACUACGUG